rnacentral:rRNA from 1 species
GAUGAACGCUGGCGGCGUGCCUAAUACAUGCAAGUCGAGCGAAUGGAUUAAGAGCUUGCUCUUAUGAAGUUAGCGGCGGACGGGUGAGUAACACGUGGGUAACCUGCCCAUAAGACUAGGAUAACUCCGGGAAACCGGGGCUAAUACCGGAUAACAUUUUGAACCGCGUGGUUCGAAAUUGAAAGGCGGCUUCUGCUGUCACUUAUGGAUGGACCCGCGUCGCAUUAGCUAGUUGGUGAGGUAACGGCUCACCAAGGCAACGAUGCGUAGCCGACCUGAGAGGGUGAUCGGCCACACUGGGACCGAGACACGGCCCAGACUCCUACGGGAGGCAGCAGUAGGGAAUCUUCCGCAAUGGACGAAAGUCUGACGGAGCAACGCCGCGUGAGUGAUGAAGGCUUUCGGGUCGUAAAACUCUGUUGUUAGGGAAGAACAAGUGCUAGUUGAAUAAGCUGGCACCUUGACGGUACCUAACCAGAAAGCCACGGCUAACUACGUGCCAGCCGCCGCGGUAA